rnacentral:lncRNA from 1 species
UUAAAAGAUUAGGAACUUUGAAUUGCUUGUGAUGUGUUCCUGGUGGUAGACUGUUGUGGUGUGGAUUCAAGCCACAUUCUGAAUAAAUAUUGCAUGUUUGUUGAUGAAAAAGAGACCAUGCCAAAUCAAAUUAGGCCAUGUACACUCACAUUGUCUGUAUGCUAUUUCUUACCUUCAAAGAACUAAUUUUUUCUUGUAUUUUAUUUUAUGAAAUUUGCUUUUAUUAUUAUUAUUAUUAUUUUAUGUGUCUUUUUUGUCACUUUUCUUCUAAACUAACUACAUUCAUUUAUUAUUAUUAUUAUUAUUAUGGAUAUUAUAGUUUAUUUUCUCUAGUAUGAUUUUGUUAAUUUAUCAGUGUAAAAGUGUAUAAUAUAAAAGUAUGAAUAUAGAAAACAAUAAUAGGAAUAUUCAAUUUUAUUAGAUUGAAAAAUGAUUUUUUUUAUUCAACAGUGAAUAGCUUUGAUACAUAAAUAAUUCUCAUAUAUAUUUUUAGGAAAUCUUAUUUCUAUACAUUUAUGUGGCUAUGUAACUCAAAAAUUGCAUUCAACAAAAGAAGCCAAAAGGAUGUAGGCUUUUUUAAAACAAGAAUAACAUCAAUGAUUUAUUACAAUCCUGAAGAAAUUGUUGAAGUUUUCAUUUUUCAUACCAUAGAAUAAUACUUCAAAAAGAAGAAUGCAACUUGUUCUGGAAAAUAAAAUAUUUCAUAAAGAGAAUACACACCGUACUAAGCUUGUAUAUGUGUUUAUAAUUACAUCAUUCUUAUUAAAAAUAAGCAACACCAUUUUUUUUGAUAUGGUGAAAUCAAUGAACUUCAAUUCAGAUGUCUAUUUAGAAAUCAACGGUAUUAUCCAUAGUUUUUCAAAUCUUCUAACUAUAAUGAAUAAUUUUAUCAUUAACUUAAACACUUCAAUUUAUUUCAAACAUUAUUAUAAUUACAAAAACAAAUUAACCUUGCUUAUAAUUUUAUUACUGAGUUUUAAAAUAAAAGGUAAAAAACAUAACCCAAGUAGUGCAUGGCCCAAAUAUUGACAAAUAAGGCAUCUGAUAAAUAUUUGCAAAUUCAAAAAAUCUAAGCUAAAAAGAAAUGGGCUAAAUUUGUUAAAAAACAGUGAAAGGUCAAAAUUGCUCAGGAGCCGAAAUUUUAGAUACACAUGUUGUGUUAAAAUUACAAAAGAAUAAUAAACAUUCUUUUCACAAUAAAACACAAAAACUGAAGUUUGUUCCACUGGUUUACAUAUUCUUUGUAAUAUGGAUCAACCAGUUAAUAAUGAUAAUGUUGAUAAUAAUUGUGUAGGAUACAAAAGCACCAGAAAAAAUGUUUCACAAAAUCCAAUAACACUUAGAACUCCAACAAGGAUGUUUUUAAAAUUGAUUGUUAUUUGUUAAGUAACUAUUUGAUUCAAAAUAAUAUUAAUAAAGUAUUUACAGUUUCACAAGAUCUGAUCUCUGCUCUUGUAUAUUGUUUGAGGAUCCAAAAACACAAACGAUUUUACCAGAAGUCACUUUUUAAAAAUAUUGAAGAACUCUUUCUUUUUACAUUUUAAGCGAAGUUUCCCUUGCUGCAGAUAUUAUUAUUAUAAUUAUUAUUAUCAUUUUGUCACAUAAAGUUUUAUGACAAAUCAUUUGAUAUUCAUUAUUGUCUGCCAAUGAGAUAUGUAAUAAUACACUGAAAUAAAUAAAUAACUAAUUGAAAAGAAAAAAUCUAUUCUGUAACAAAUUUAUUGUUGAUUGAGUCUUUUGGGUUUCAUGAUUUAUAUGCAUACAUCUAGAGAUACAUUUGGGAUUUGACCUUCAAUUUGUUCUUAAUUACUUGUUUUGAAGACGAAGAAAAUCACAAUUGGUCAGUAACUUUCUACCAUGAAUUGAAUAUUGUUUUUUUGAAGCUGCAGUUUUUCUUCUAAGGAAAUGCAAUAUAUUUCCUCCUUUAUCUAUCCUUAUCACAUCAAUAUAAAAAAAUUAUAACGAAAGUCAUUUCACGCAUUUAAUUUGACAGAAAAUGAAUAAAUUUGAUUGACAUGCAGCAAGAUGAAUGCACUUGUAAGAAUUUGCAACAAACUAUUUAAACUUUUCUGUGCAUGAGUUUAUUGUACAAUGUUUGUUUGGUUAUUCCAUGAAAAAGGUUACUGCUGCUAUAAAUUUUGAUCAAAAUUUUGAAUUUUUAAAAAACAAAUUUACAAUGAUGAAAUGAUAAAACGGUGUAGAUUUUCUAUGACUACAUGAAAUUUUAUUUUUAUUUUAUUAUUUCAUUUUCAGAUAAUUCAGCAAAAUAUCUGAACAAGAGGAUAAUGGAUCAAAUAAUUUAAAACCAAAUUUUUUUUGUAUUUCCCAAUUAAUCUUAAUUUUUUUUUAUCAUGAAAUAUUUUUUAAACCCAAAGAAAAAUGAACUAUUAAAUCAAUAAUAUGUAUGUAUAUAUAUAUAUAUAUAUAUACACACACAUGGGUUAAUUUUCAAUUUUUUGGUAGAUGUCUUAUUUUUGUUUAAUUGCAAGGCUAGUGCUGUGAUUGAACAUCAUAUUUUAAUUGUUGACCAUUAAUAACACAAGUCAUAUUUAUUCACGUUAAAAAUUUCUUCUAGAGGGUGUUAUGACUGUGUCAUUGAAUUUUCUACAAUACAAAUAUGCUACUUUUACUGUUUUUAUUUAUUUUCUUAAUUGCUACUAUUUCUUCUAAUACAUGGCAUCAAUUUGCACUGAGGCAUUCAAAAAUACCAAUAAGCAUUGUUUGCAUAGGUAAAAUGUAAAGUUGAAGAAACGUUUAUUCAAUUUUAGUUAUUUAUGUAUAAAUGCAAAUUAUCAUUGAUGCAAUCAAACAACUAGAAAAAACAAUGUUAUUU